rnacentral:tRNA from 1 species
CAGAUUAUUCUUAAAGUUAAGGAUUUCAUUUACAUUGAAAAUAAGGUUGUGCAAUUCAACAUAAUCUGA